CAGGGAUUAGAGAAUCCUCCUUGUAUUUGUUAACAGUGCACUGAUUGUUCUAAUGGUGGUUGUAGUUUAUAAAGCAUAAAGCUGUUAUCAAAUACAAGGAGGAUUCUCUAAUCCCUGUGCAAAUCAAAGGAAUAAAACCGAUAUUUUCGAUAUGUCAAUGAGAAAUCGAGAAGAUAAAAUUGAAGGAAAACACCAACCUGGAAAUGAAACUUUCCAAGAGACAACAGCUAGGUCUUGUAUAAAUGAUGCCAUUUCUUCAUCAUUUGGCG
rnacentral:misc_RNA from 1 species